rnacentral:rRNA from 1 species
GCGAGUGAAGCGGNAACAGCUCAAAUUUGAAAUCUGGCCUCACGGUCCGAGUUGUAAUUUGUAGAGGAUGNUUCGGGNGUGGUCCGGCCUAAGUUCCUUGGAACAGGACGUCAUAGAGGGUGAGAAUCCCGUAUGCNNCNGGGUGCCUACNCUCAUGUGAAACUCCUUCGACGAGUCGAGUUGNUUGG